CCCUUUUUCUUUUUCCCUUUCCUUUCUCCCCGCCCCAAAAUGUAGGUUAUUAGAAACUCCCAGCUCCUCCAGUUUAGGAGCAGGGGCUUUGGGAAGCCCAGUCCUCAGGAGAGAUUCCUCCACUCCCCUUCCCGUCGUGGUGCCCGGUCCGGAGCCGGCGCCGCCGCUUCCCGGAGCGGUCCCGGCCGCCGUCGCUGGGUGCCAGUGCAGCCCGCGCCUGCCUCUCCCUUGCUGUCUGCGGCUUCUUCGUACUCGCAUUUUCCCUCUGCUCCUUUUCCUCUCACUUUUCUUCUCCUCCCUUCCCUCCGUGUAAGUGCCAGGACAGUGCUGCCGGCCCAGCCGUGCUGCUCCUGCCCGCCUCUGCGGUGGAGGCUGCGGGCUGUCCCGGCCGGCAGUGCCUGAGCGGGUUAAAGCGGAGGCGAGGCAGCGCAAACAGUGCGAACAGUGAAGACGCUGAGCCAGAGCUUCCUCUACCGAACUUUUUGGCAGUCUCCGACUCGGGCUCUUCGCUGUGUCUUUGACCUGGAAAUCGCGGGGAGGGAAGCGGGGCUGGCAGCAAGAAGGGAAGACGCUGCUCCUGCGGACAUCAGCGGAGUGGAUGCUCUCUUCCACAUCGGGGUGUUUUUCCCAGCCUUGCAAAGCACGGUCAGUGCUGACAGGCUAUGCUCUCCGGCUGGAUGCAGGAGGGAAAGAUGGUUGCUCUGCAAUUCGCAUGAGUUGGCCCUUCCUGCAGAGCUCCUGGGACUGGAAACGGCAAAGACCUUUAAGAUAACCAAGUCCAACCGUUACCCCAGGAUCGCCAAGACCACCACUAAACCAUACCACUGAGGGCAUAUAAGACCCAAAGCCUAAAAGAAUGCAUCAACCUGAAUGUUUUCUCUGCUCCACGUAUGUGGUGUCUUGUUGGCCAGCAACUUUAAAUCUUGGAUUGCAAGUCUCUUCACAGCCUUCCUGGGGUCAUUCUUCAAGUACUGCAACAAAAGCUGGAUCUGCAACAAAGUAAAUUCACUGUUUGAGAGAGAUGCUACUAGAGGGAAGGUCUUUUUAAAGGUACGUGUGAUGGAAUUUUGAGCAUACACAGCCAAAACUAACUCACCAUAUCUGCCCGAUGGCUCACCACAUGGAAAAGCCACUGCUUAGGCUGCAAUGCCACAGCAAGCUAAGACAGUCUGACAGCUGAUUUCUACCAUGCUGCUCUGCUUGUUCAAACAUCCUUCUCUAUCUUCUCUCACCCUGCACACCUGAGAAGCCUCGAAAGCUGUUUUGACACUCUCAGAGCUACCAUAAAGUAUCUCCAAGAAGUUCAGUAAAACCCUUAUACUGUUGUGAUUAUACUACUAGCAACUACUGAAGCUUAUCUGGGUGGCUGCAUGAUCUGCAGUUAACAGACAUCAACACAGACACCUUCUAUGUGGUUGCCAAACCCUAACCCUAACCCAAACACCCCAAACCCCUACCCACCCCCUCUGAAGCCUUGAUCUCUUAUUAAAUGACACUUAACUGCA